CAGUCGCCGCGGUAAUACGUAGGUGGCAAGCGUUGUCCGGAAUUAUUGGGCGUAAAGGGCUCGCAGGCGGUUUCUUAAGUCUGAUGUGAAAGCCCCCGGCUCGACCGGGGAGGGUCAUUGGAAACUGGGAAACUUGAGUGCAGAAGAGGAGAGUGGAAUUCCACGUGUAGCGGUGAAAUGCGUAGAGAUGUGGAGGAACACCAGUGGCGAAGGCGACUCUCUGGUCUGUAACUGACGCUGAGGAGCGAAAGCGUGGGGAGCGAACAGGAUUAGAUACCCCCGUAGUCCCUGUCUCUUAUAC
rnacentral:rRNA from 1 species